rnacentral:lncRNA from 1 species
UAUAACUAUAUUUUCGAAUUGAGUUUAGCAUGGAAUGAUUUAUUUCGACCAUGAAUCGAUUAAAUUACGACGUCCGAAAGCCCCGUACGAGAUAUAGAAGGCCCAUUUUUCCUGGGCCUUUAGACUUAUAAACUAAAUGCAAAAAACCAAAAAAAAUAAUAAAAUCAUAAAAAUCAUAAAACAGUCCAUUAACCCAAAUAAAUCCCUUCAAGCCAAAUAACAAAAAUAUAGCCCAAAACAGAAAUAAAAAACUAGUCCAAAACCCAAUUUACAAAUGGCCUAAAGGGGCCCAAUAGUUCGGAAAUACCAGAAACCCUAGAGGUUUUUGGAAACCUGCUAGCACCAUAAACCAGCCACUCCCACAAGUGGUUUCCCACGCCCACGCUUACGAACGCUCCUUUUGAACGGCCAUCUCCAAUGGAACCUGCGAGAAGAGCAACUGAAAUAAUAACAAAAAAAUAGGCCAGUAAAUGACAACAAAAAAUACAAUUUUUAUUUUAUUUAAGCUGUAAACCGGCUAUAAAAAGCCAGAAAAACGAUGUAAAUAGGAUCUUUCUUUUUUACAAAAAAAUACGAUACGCAUACUGAAUACAGAAUACAAAAGCAACCAAAAAAAUAGAAGGUGAUUGCAGCUUUCAUUUUCUCAUGUUUUGAUUUAUUUUUAUUAUCGCUUUUGCACCAAAUCUUUUCGCAUGAGAAUAAAAAGAGAUAGGAGAGAGGUUUACCUUCGGGGAUGCACCAUCGGGGUCUUUGUCUCCUCCGUUGAAAUCGGAGUUUAAGAUGGGGACCUUUAAGUGAGAAUAAGCCUCGAGCCUUGACUUUAUGGAGAUAGGGAUCACCGAUUAUGAGGGUGAAAUGAUAGUUGAAUGGGGCUUUUGAAUUGCACCAAAACCCUAGCAAAUAGGGAUUUCAUUUGCCGCUUGCAAAAAUGGCAGAUUGCCAUUCAUUUUUUUU